CUCCCUCUUUGAUCACACUGGCUGGAGUGGCCGGGCUUGGAGACUCUGCGGAGAAGGGCUGGGUCUCUUUAGGAAGCCCAGUGCAGGGGGACCCACCCAGCUCCACACAAUGAAAAUCAAGUUGUCAAGCCUUUGAGGUGGCUGUGAAGAUUUAUUCUUCCUGGGCAAAUUGGUCAGGAGAUUAACUGGAAUGGCCCGUGUGAUGUGAAUUCAUCUAGGGGCACAAGAGAAUCUCUUUUCAUGGAGAUGGCAACAGCACAUGAGUUCCUAAGCUAGCCCAAUGGAGAAUGUGAGACGUCCAUAGCUCAAACCUCCCCAUUGCCUCAGCCAACACCCCCAGACUCAGAGCUGCCUAAGUGACUUGUGGGGACCACAGACACUUGAUGGAGGCCGGCCAAGACAAGAGGAAGCAUUCACUUGAACCCAGCCUCAACUGCUGACCUGCAGAAUCGUAAGUUCAAUAAAUGGUUAUACUUUUAAAUCAUUAGGUUUGGGUGUGGCUUGUUAGGCAGCAAUAGCUAACUGAUAAAAUAAGUUUUAGGAAACUUUACAAUAAUUUCCAUCACACAGUUUGUGCAAGGAGUCAGGAGACUCCUGAGCAAUGAUUCUUGUGAGAACAAUGUUAGCUGAAAUUAACCAACUAUGCCAACUGUGCUUUCUCUAUGCAGCUGUCAACCUCUGCUGUUUUACUGUAAUAUAAUUAUCAAAUUAAUUUGGUUCAAACCAAAGACAGGGAGGUUUAUAAGUAGCAAGGAUUUGUCUGUUUUGGUAGAAAUGAGGAAAAUGUUAUUGUAAUUGUGUGAUAAUGCUAUUUAUUGGCAGGAGUGAUUUUGGAGCAAGAAGCUCCAAGAUGGAUUUUUAUUCUAUUACAAAAAUAAUCACAGAAUAAUCUGAUUAAUAAUCCUGCUUCUGAAUCCAAGAGCACAAAUUUAAUUAAAAUGUAUAAAAUAGGACACACGAACAAGUCACUAUUUUCCUCACUCUUCAAUGUGUGUAUGUGUGUCUCAUAGUGCAUUUGCCUUAUUAUCAGUCUUGAUAAACUCUGAGGGAGAAAGCCACUUGAUUUUGUCGUGAAAUGUCUCCAACACAUCUUCCAGAGUGUGGUGUCUGCUUUCGGGCCUCCGUGUCUGAGUGCCAUUUGCUAAAGGCCUUUCCCCAUAAGGAGCUGGGUCACUUAUUAGAUGUGGUCGGAGGAGGCAAGAGAGCGUGAGAAACUUGGAGUGGAGGUGGGGGUCCUGUUCCAUGGUGAUACAUUCUGGGUUAUGCCCUUUUAAUGAUAUCUGUAUAUGUUUUCUUUCUUUGAAAAUACAUGUGUGUGUGUGUGUGUGUGUGUGUAUAAUAUCUACAGUGUCAGAAUCCUAAAGUUGGGAAAUUGGAAUUUUAAAAAAUAUAUUAAACUUUUGAUUUUAAAACACCAUUUAUUUGCUAAGUUCCUGAAAUAUCCAUUUUCAGUACUUGAAGAGGUCUGUGCUUCUGAGAAGUGCAUUGGUUUCCUGGCUGGGGGUGUAGUGGUUCUCCCUCUGUCCACUUCUGCCAGCAUCAUUCUCCAUUUUCCCUGAAGUGGAGUUUGAGGGGACCACCUGCCAUGGAUCGCGGGUCCAUGGAAAUAGUUCAGAGGCUCCUGGGCAAGACAGUGUCCUACAGUUGAUUUGAGACUGAUUUGGAAACUGGAAGACUUGGCUGUAAUUCCUGCCCUGCCGCUAUGUGCUGAGUGAUCUUGGGGGAGCCGUUCAGCCACCAACUAGUUCUCAUUUCAUUUAGGAAAGAAAGAAAUUGGAGUUGACAACCUUUUUAGUCCCUUUAUAGCUAUUUAUUAUGACAGUAACUGGGCAAUGUUGGAAGACGGUAUCCAUUGACAUGCCCACCAUAUAUAUAAUUUUCAUUUGUUUUGUUUCAAGAGCUAAAAUAUUAGAAUAAAAAACUUUAAGGCAUUCCCCCCAUCUGACUGUAAAAGCCAUGCUUUGAACUAAAAAGUCCUUAAUGCCCUUGCAAUUGAAUAUUGAAUAUGAAGUAAUUUAGAAGUAUUUCCAUUUAAUAUGUUUAACGUGAAAAUUUUGAUGAUUAAAUGGGUAUGUUUAAAUUUUGGAGGGAGUUUUUAUUCAUAUGAACUUGGAAUAAUGCAUGUUGAUUCCCUGGUUCUGGAACUCCUUACUGGAGGAGUGAUAGAUCUUUUAGCAACUGCAUUAAGCCGUCUCUACAAAAACAUAUUCCAAUGCAAAAAUUUGGUUAAGGAGUUUUAUUGUUAUCCAGAGGAUUCUACCCUUUUAAGGGAAGAAAGCCUUUUUUUGGGAAAAACAUUUUUUGAUCAACUUUGGCUAAGGCUUAAGCAGUGAUUUAUGGAUUUCAGUUGACCUACUUGUUAUGGGUCUAGACAAAAUGAGCUCUCUAUUGAUAAGAUAUCUCCUGUGAUUAUACUUUAUCUUUGGAACGGGAUCUAAGGAUGGAAGAAAGAGAGAUGAUGGGAAAUAUAUAUCUUCUUUUCCCUGAGAAAGCUUUGGAGAAAGGCAUCCUUUAGCACAUAGUUCCUCCCUCAUUUCAUGGGUAGUAAACUCUGAUGUGUCACAUCCUGAAGUUUGUGUGAUCAGAUGUGCCUUCUCUGGCGUAAGGUACUUAUAAGGACAAUAAAGCCAGGAACUAACCCUUUACAUGGCAUGAUGUUUUGCUCUGUUAUACUGAUAUGACUGUUGGGACAGGCUGGUUUAUGUGGCACAGUCUUAGAGUAUUUCUUAUUCGCACUGCUCACUACAUUCUCAAUCUAAAGUUUACCAAUCUUGACAGUGACUACCUAGUAGGUAUUUGCUGGUGUUCUGUUUGCUUUGUUUUGUGUUGGGGUGUGUGUGUGUGUGUGUGUGUGUGUGUCUGCAUGCACUUUUUAUUGAAGUGUGGUCCAAAUGCAGACGAGUGAACAUAUCAUAAACAGACAGCUUGAUGCAUUUUACAAACGGUAUAACCAACACCCAGAUCAAGGAACAACCCUUUUCCAGCUCCCCCAGGACUCUGCCUCCCACUUCUUUCCUGACCCAGUGUAACCUCCCUCUUGACUUCUAACUGCAUAGUUUAAUUUUACUUAUUUUUGUCUUUAUAUAACAUGGGCUAUUACAGUCUUACUCUUUAGAGUCUUCCUUCUUUCACUCAACAUUAUGCUCAUGGGAUUCUUCCAUAUCAUUCUCUUCGCUGUUUUGUAGUUCAUUGUAUGAAGAAUAUAUGUGACUCAUUUAUCCAUAUUCCACUGUUGGGGCGCCUUUGGGCAGUUUUCCCUUUGGGGCUAUUACCAAUAAUGCUGCUCUGAACAUUCUAGUGCAUAUCUUCCAGGGAACGUAGGUCCACUUCUCUUGGGAAUAUGCCUAAAUGUGAAAUUUGUGGGUCAUAGGUAUAUAUAUUUCUUCCUAAGUAUAAUGUUAGAGUUGGGUAUGCAGAAUUGACUAAAUUAUGAAACCAAACAUUCAUUUGUUUGACACCUGAAGUAAGUACUGUUUGAGGAAGAGAGAAGAAUCUGAAAAAAACAUGACAUUUUUACUCAUGGGUCUAUGUUCCAAGCUUUUGAGCUAACAUUGUCUGUUCUUCUCUCUCAGUGGUGGGAUUUUGAAAGUGUGCUGACACAGCCACUUUCUGCGGGGCUGCUCCUGGCCCAGGGUUCUUGCCACAUAAACUCUUCUAGCCCAGACCUUGUGAGUGUUACGGGAAGUGGCCUUGGUUCUUUUGUGUUCGUUUCCGGCCCCAGGUUGCUCAUCGCUCCCUGUGCCCAUUUGAGGUAACACACCGACAGUUGUCAAGAUGAAUCAUGGCUUUUUCUCAGACACACAGGGAGACCGAGUUUGUGACUAAUAGACAAAUCCUCUGGACAUGGGCUGAGCCACCAAGAGCCACCCUUGUCCAGGCAAGUUCAGGCCUGAGGUGCAGCUUCUGACAGACAGCAGGGAAAGCAAGCAUUGGCAGAACGGUUGUGUUAUUUGCAUCUCUGAUUUUGAAGACGCUUUGCUUUCUCUUAAUCCCCUCUAGCACCUCCAAAAAGUCGUAUUAGCCUAUUUGUGGCCCCUGAUGUGUGUCUGCCUGUUUAUGCAUGUGCUCAGAAUCCAGGGAGUGUGGCAUAAAUAUCAAAAACUUCAAGGGAGAUGUGGUCUCAAGGCCGAUGCCAGUGGGCAUUGAGCACUGCCUUCCUCCUGCCCAUUUUUUACUCUCUCUGACUCUCCCCGACUCUUCUGCACAGAGCUCAUUGGAUUAAAAUAGUGAAGGACUUGAAAGCUUUGAAGAGAAAUGAAAUGUGAGGAAGGACAGUGAGGAUCUUUGGGUGGGAGGUACUGAUUGUCUGUAAAUGUUUCAGGUAUCCUUAGAUUUUCUUGGAAAUCAUUUCCCAAUUGGCUCAAGUUGGCUUUCUCAAAUGUUACUCAAAAGUUGUGUGUGCAUGUGUGUUAGGAAGAUGUGACUACCAGGUUUUGCAGUCUCCUAUGUGCUGCCGAUUCUGCUGCAUCUUCAUGGAACCAGCCCUCAUAGUUGCAAAAGAACAUUCCGAUGUGUAUGUAUUGGGUGACAUUUUGAAUCCCUUGGACUAGGCCUUCUCAUUUUGCAAUGUCCUUUUGUAUUAGUUCCACUCAAAGAAAGACUUGCACCCUGUUGCUUGAAGGACAGAAGAGGUGGGGCUUUAACUUAAUUUCAGGAGACUGGACAAUUUCAUUCUCACCUGCUGAAAGCACCAUGUUUAUUGAAAAGGAACUUUCUGAGUGAGCUCAAUUAAGCCCAGACAGUUUAAUUUAACUUGUUCCUAAUUGUAAGGGGUUAUUUUUUCUGGCAUGGAGCCACUCAGAAUUUUAUCUGCAAGUUCUCCAGAUAAUCUCCAUCUUCGUACACAAUUUUCUCAGAGAUACUCAGAAUUCCGCUGCAGUGGGACAUUCCAGGUUCUCUCCUCUCCUCUCUCUCUCUGUCUCUCUAUUUCUCUAUCUCUUGAGUAUGGUUUAUAUCACUUGAGGUUGUAUAGAUUAGUAGAGGUUGGAAUAUCUACAGCUUGUCUCCAGAGGUCAAGGCUGUUUCCCUGUAGAACUGGAGGGAUCAGACAAUGGCAGGCCCCAUCCCUAUAUUCAGUGAUUCAUUCUUUGUCUCAAACUUCCGGCUGUUAUGGCCUGACCAUUGUUACAGAGAAGGGCCUAUUGCCCUCUCUUAUGGGAAAAGAGGAUAGAGAGUUAGGGAUGGAGGAGUUAACCUUGGGGAAAGAAGUAUCAACAGUCUCUACCCUAGUGCUUUCCAAGUGUGGCCCCUGGACCUGCAGCAUCAGCAUCACUUGAAAACAUCUUAGAUAAGCAAAUCUAUUCAAUCAGAAAUUCUGGGGCUGGGCCCAGCAAUCUGUGUUUUAACAAGAAAGUCUAAAGUUUGAGAUUAAUUUCUAUUAUAAAAAAUUACCUUUGCCAGUCUUAAAUAUUAAGAUACUAUAAGCUUUGGGAGAAAUGUGGCUGUUUUUUGUUUUGUUUUGUUUUUGCUAUUUGCUUUUGAUUUUCAGUGGUGGUAUUUUGUAUUGCAAAAUGAGAGAUAUAAAAUAAACACAUGAAAAUAUUAGGUUCAAUUUCCUUAACCCUGGGCUCUCUUCUCCAGGGGAAAGAUGAUAGGAGAAUUUUGGAGAAAUAUACGGAAUGUCUACCUUUUCACCUUGUAUGUAUGAAAAGAGUGUGAUUACAUUUCUUAUCUUAGGCUUGUAACCUAAAUGCCUUCUAGACAAGGCUCUCUCUCCCUCUUGACUUUUUUGAGUAAGUUUCCAACAGUCUCUUUUUGAUCUUUUCUUUUAUGUAGUUGCUUCAAAACGGUUUUUGGUUUUCUAUUUUCCUUCUUUUUCUUUCCAGAAAUUUCUCUUAGGGCAUCCUUAAUUAUGGUCUCCUCUUGAGUAUAUAUGACAACAGAGAACUCUGAGUUACAACUGUAAAUAGCAGAAUCCAGAAGAAGACUGUCUGACCAUAGCUAGGCCAACAAGUCAUGAUAGUUGUUCCACAGCUUGUCAAUCGUGGGAUAAAUAAAGGACCUGAGGGCUUACUUCCUAAACCAUCAAACUGACGUGUGAUUUGGUGUGAUGGGGAGGAGAGCAUGGAACAACAAAUCAUCGUGUGUUAAUUUCCAUGUCAAAUUGAUGGAAAGCUUUGACACCUGCCCAUUUGCUUAUUGAAUGAUCAACCCCCAUGUCCAUCAGGGUUCUAGUUAACAUACAAUAGUCUGCCUCUACCUUAAGUAUGUGCAAGCAUUUUUGAAAUGCAUGGUAUACUUCUCAAGUAAGUUAUAACAUUGGCUGGUGAGUUUUAGAUCUUCUUUUCUCCUUAAAGCAAGCAUAAAUUAGAAAUUUAGGACUUCCUGAUGUGGCACAGCAGUUAACAAAUCCAACUAGUAUCCAUGAGAAUGCAGGUUCUAUCCAUGAGAAUGCGGGUUUGAUUCCUGGCCUCACUCAGUGGGUUAAGGAUCCAGCAUUGCUGUGAGCUGUGGUGUAGGUCACAGAUGUGGCUUGAUCUCACAUUGCUAUGUCCGUGGUGUAAUCUGACAGUUAUAGCUCCUAUUGGACCCCUAGCCUGGGACUUCCAUAUGUCAUGAGUGUGGCCCUAAAAAGCCAAAAAGAAAGAAAAGGAAAAGAAACAAAACACUCCCCUCUCCUAUUAAAAAAAAAAAAAA
rnacentral:lncRNA from 1 species